UGGGGAAUAUUGGACAAUGGGGGCAACCCUGAUCCAGCAAUGCCGCGUGUGUGAAGAAGGUUUUCGGAUUGUAAAGCACUUUCGGCGGGGACGAUGAUGACGGUACCCGCAGAAGAAGCCCCGGCUAACUUCGUGCCAGCAGCCGCGGUAAUACGAAGGGGGCUAGCGUUGCUCGGAAUGACUGGGCGUAAAGGGCGUGUAGGCGGUUUGUACAGUCAGAUGUGAAAUCCCCGGGCUUAACCUGGGAGCUGCAUUUGAGACGUGCAGACUAGAGUGUGAGAGAGGGUUGUGGAAUUCCCAGUGUAGAGGUGAAAUUCGUAGAUAUUGGGAAGAACACCGGUGGCGAAGGCGGCAACCUGGCUCAUUACUGACGCUGAGGCGCGAAAGCGUGGGGGAGCAAACAGGAUUAGA
rnacentral:rRNA from 1 species